UAAAGUAUUAGGUAAUAAAAGUUUUGUAUAUAGUAAUAUUUAUUAAAAUUUUUUUUUAAAAAUCAUAAAUUAGUUUACUGAGAAGGAAUUGUUGAAAUAGUGAUUUUUUUUAUUUUUAGGGAAGAAGUAUUUAAGUACUUACCUUUUGUAUUAUGGGUGACUGAAAAAUUUAAACUAACUAUAUUUUAUUAACGAGAUAAAGUGAGCUACUAUAUUCUCUAUAAUUGAUAGUAUUUCUUACUGUAGAAAAAGUUAAGGAAGGAGGAUAUAGUUGAAGUGAAAUUCUUAACGAACUUUGUUAUAGCUUUUUCUUAAGGAAAUGAGUAUUAGCUUUCUUAAAUAAAAAAUUUAACUAAAGAUAAUUGGUUGAUCAGUUGUCUUUUAAGAAAAAAAAUUCGUUGAUCAAAGUAAAAUCAUUAAAAAAUAAAAAUUUAUUAUUUAUUAUAAAGUAGAUUUUAAGUAAUUUUCUUUUUGAGUGUGUUUGAAUUCCUUAAUAAAAAAAAUUUUGUAAAAAUAGUUGAAUAUGAUAUUUAAUUUAUCUUGUUGGGAUUACUUAAGUUAUCUUACUAAAGAUAUAAUAAUGGUUAUAUUAGUAAAAUUUUUUUCAUUUUUAUAAUUAAGAGAAAAUCAAAAAGAAAGUUUAAUUACUUUUUGUUGAAAAAUAUACUUAUUUUAGUGGAUAUAAAUAUUUUUGAAGGUAGAAAAAGGAACUCGGCAAAAAUUUUUCUCGCCUGUUUACCUAAAACAUCGCCUUUGGAAAAUCAUCAAAAGGUCCUGCCUGCCCGGUGAUUAGAAAAAUUAAACGGCUGCGGUACUCUGACCGUGCAAAGGUAGCAUAAUCAUUAGCCUGUUAAUUUCAGGCUGGCAUCAAUGGCAAGACGAAGAAAAAGCUGUCUCUUUCUAUUAUUUUAGAAUUUUUCUUUUUGGUGAAGAGACCAAAAUAUAAAAGUGGGACGAGAAGACCCUAUUGAGUUUAAGUUAAUUAGUAGAAGUUAAAUUUUUACCAAAAAACUUUGGUUGGGGCAACUGUUUAUAAAAUUAAACAUAAUAAAAUAUAAAUUGAAUUAAAUCUAAAAGUUAAAAUACCCAGGAUUAUUCUGGAAUUAAAAAUAAUUACCAUAGGGAUAACAGCGUAAUUCUUUUUGAGAGUACAUAUUGACAAAAGAGUUUGCGACCUCGAUGUUGGAUCAAGUUUUCCUGGAGGUGCAGCAGUUUCUAAGGGUUGGUUUGUUCAACCAUAAAAAUCUUACGUGAUCUGAGUUCAGUCCGUCGUGAGACAGGACAGUUUUUAUCUACUAAAUUUUUCUUUCUUGUACGAAAGGACUUUAAGAAAAAAAAUAAAUUUUAUAAAAUAUUUUUGUUAAAAUUAUGAAUAAAAUAAUAUUGAUUUUU
rnacentral:rRNA from 1 species